CAAAUACUCCCUCCGUCCGGAAAUACUUGUCAUCAAAAUGGAUAAAAGGAAAUGUAUCUAGACAUAUUUUAGUUUUAGAUACAUUUCUUUUUAUCCAUUUUGAUGACAAGUAUUUUUGGACGAAGGGAGUAUUUA
rnacentral:pre_miRNA from 1 species